GACGAACGCUGGCGGCGUGCUUAACACAUGCAAGUCGAACGGAAAGGCCCUGCUUUUGUGGGGUGCUCGAGUGGCGAACGGGUGAGUAACACGUGAGUAACCUGCCCUUGACUUUGGGAUAACUUCAGGAAACUGGGGCUAAUACCGGAUAGGAGCUCCUGCUGCAUGGUGGGGGCUGGAAAGUUUCGGCGGUUGGGGAUGGACUCGCGGCUUAUCAGCUUGUUGGUGGGGUAGUGGCUUACCAAGGCUUUGACGGGUAGCCGGCCUGAGAGGGUGACCGGCCACAUUGGGACUGGGGUACGGCCCAGAAUCCUACCGGAGGCAGCAGUGGGGAAUAUUGCACAAUGGGCGGAAGCCUGAUGCAGCAACGCCGCGUGCGGGAUGACGGCCUUCGGGUUGUAAACCGCUUUCGCCUGUGACGAAGCGUGAGUGACGGUAAUGGGUAAAGAAGCACCGGCUAACUACGUG
rnacentral:rRNA from 1 species